UACGUAGGGUGCAAGCGUUGUCCGGAAUUAUUGGGCGUAAAGAGCUCGUAGGCGGUUUGUCGCGUCUGCUGUGAAAACUCGGGGCUUAACCCCGGGCCUGCAGUGGGUACGGGCAGACUAGAGUGCGGGAGAGGAGACUGGAAUUCCUGGUGUAGCAGUGAAAUGCGUAGAUAUCAGGAGGAACACCGAUGGCGAAGGCAGGUCUCUGGGCUGACACUGACGCUCAUGCACGAAAGCGUGGGGAGCAAACAGG
rnacentral:rRNA from 1 species